AUCCAGCUGACAAGUCCCAAGUGGAACGAAACACGCGUCAAACUGGAU
rfam:Schistosoma rodhaini strain Burundi genome assembly, scaffold: SROB_scaffold0001741